rnacentral:rRNA from 1 species
GAGUUUGAUCCUGGCUCAGAUUGAACGCUGGCGGCAUGCCUUACACAUGCAAGUCGAACGGCAGCACGGGAGCUUGCUCCUGGUGGCGAGUGGCGAACGGGUGAGUAAUGCAUCGGAACGUAUCCUGGAGUGGGGGAUAACGUAGCGAAAGUUACGCUAAUACCGCAUAUUCUGUGAGCAGGAAAGCGGGGGACCUUCGGGCCUCGCGCUCUUGGAGCGGCCGAUGUCGGAUUAGCUAGUUGGUGAGGUAAAGGCUCACCAAGGCGACGAUCCGUAGCAGGUCUGAGAGGAUGAUCUGCCACACUGGAACUGAGACACGGUCCAGACUCCUACGGGAGGCAGCAGUGGGAAUUUUGGACAAUGGGGGCAACCCUGAUCCAGCCAUGCCGCGUGGGUGAAGAAGGCC